rnacentral:misc_RNA from 1 species
GAUGAAGAACGUAGCGAAAUGCGAUAAGUCAUGUGAAUUGCAGAAUCGUGAAACAUGAAUGUUUGAACGCAAAUGGCACCCUCCAGUCAUAAUCUGGAGGGUACGCCUGUUUGAGGUCAAUCAAAGAAUGAGAACGCGAUCAGGUUGAUGGUGGGUGGUAACACACACACACACACACACACACACACACAACCUGGAGUAUGAGCUUUUCGAUGGGGAAGGGAGGAGAGGCGGAAGGUCGUCUUCACCGAUUCGAUGGCUCGAAAUGGAGCAAGUGCACUCGUGACGCGAUGCAGGUAUUUGAAACAAUUUGCCAGCAACGGAUGUCGCGUGUACUUUGAGGGACAUUACACACGUUGAGAACAUGAUAAACAAUUGACCUCAAAUCAGGCGGGACUACCCGCUGAACUUAAGCAUAUCAAUAAGCGGAGGA